GGCCGAUUAACUCAGUUGGUUAGAGUGCGGUGCUAAUAAUCUCUAUGAAUUGUUAACGCCGAAGUCGUCGGUUCGAUCCCGGCAUUGGCCA